CACGGGGGGAGCAAGCGUUGUUCGGAAUCACUGGGCGUAAAGCGCACGUAGGCGGACUCUUAAGUCGGUGGUGAAAUCCUGGAGCUCAACUCCAGAACUGCCUUCGAUACUGGGAGUCUCGAGUUCGGGAGAGGUGAGUGGAACUGCGAGUGUAGAGGUGAAAUUCGUAGAUAUUCGCAAGAACACCGGUGGCGAAGGCGGCUCACUGGCCCGAUACUGACGCUGAGGUGCAAAAGCGUGGGGAGCAAACAGG
rnacentral:rRNA from 1 species